GACGAACGCUGGCGGCGUGCUUAACACAUGCAAGUCGAACGGAAAGGCCCUGCUUUUGUGGGGUGCUCGAGUGGCGAACGGGUGAGUAACACGUGAGUAACCUGCCCUUGACUUUGGGAUAACUUCAGGAAACUGGGGCUAAUACCGGAUAGGAGCUCCUGCUGCAUGGUGGGGGUUGGAAAGUUUCGGCGGUUGGGGGUGUACUCGCGGCUUAUCAGCUUGUUGGUGGGGUAGUGGCUUACCAAGGCUUUGGCGGGGAGCCGGCCUGAGAGGGUGACCGGCCACAUUGGGCCUGGGAUACGGCCCAGACGCAUACGGGAGGCAGCAGUGGGGACUAUUGCAAAAUGCGCGGAAGCCUGAUGCGGCAACGCCGCGUGCGGGAUGACGGCUUUUGGGUUGUAAACAGCGUUCGCCUGAGACGAAGCGUGAGUGACGGUACUGGGUAAAGAAGCACCGGCUAACUACGU
rnacentral:rRNA from 1 species